rnacentral:misc_RNA from 2 species
GUGGGAGGGGGCUUGCCCCCGAUAGCAGUGUGUCAGCCAGUGCAUCGGUAACUGAUAGAUUGCUAUCGGGGGCAAGCCCCCUCCCAC